rnacentral:rRNA from 1 species
GAUGAACGCUGGCGGCAGGCCUAACACAUGCAAGUCGAAGGAGAAGCUAUUUCGGUAGUGGAGACUGGCGGACGGGUGAGUAACGCGUGGGAACCUGCCCUUCAGUUCGGGAUAACAGUUGGAAACGACUGCUAAUACCGAAUAUUAUCUACGGAUGAAAGAUUUAUCGCUGAAGGAUGGGCCCGCGACUGAUUAGAUAGUUGGUGGGGUAAUGGCCUACCAAGUCGACGAUCAGUAGCUGGUUUGAGAGGAUGAUCAGCCACACUGGGACUGAGACACGGCCCAGACUCCUACGGGAGGCAGCAGUGGGAAUAUUGGACAUGGGGGCAACCCUGAUCCAGCCAUGCCGCGUGAGUGAUGAAGGCCCUAGGGUUGUAAAGCUCUUUCGCUCGCGAGGAUAAUGACUGUAGCG